rnacentral:misc_RNA from 1 species
GUGAAGAACGUAGUGAAAUGCGAUACGUAAUGUGAAUUGCAGAAUUCAGUGAAUCAUCGAGUCUUUGAACGCACAUUGCGCCCCCUGGUAUUCCGGGGGGCAUGCCUGUCCGAGCGUCAUUGCUGCCCUCAAGCACGGCUUGUGUGUUGGGCCUCCGUCCUCCUCCCGGGGGACGGGCCCGAAAGGCAGCGGCGGCACCGCGUCCGGUCCUCGAGCGUAUGGGGCUUCGUCACCCGCUCUUGUAGGCCCGGCCGGCGCUUGCCGACACAUCAAUCUUUUUUCCAGGUUGACCUCGGAUCAGGUAGGGAUACCCGCUGAACUUAAGCAUAUCAAUAAGCGGAGGA